rnacentral:rRNA from 1 species
CCUACGGGAGGCAGCAGUGGGGAAUAUUGCACAAUGGGCGCAAGCCUGAUGCAGCCAUGCCGCGUGUAUGAAGAAGGCCUUCGGGUUGUAAAGUACUUUCAGUCGUGAGGAAGGUCCAUACGUUAAUAGCGUAUGGAUUUGACGUUAGCGACAGAAGAAGCACCGGCUAACUCCGUGCCAGCAGCCGCGGUAAUA